rnacentral:rRNA from 1 species
UACAGAGGGUGCAAGCGUUAAUCGGAAUUACUGGGCGUAAAGCGUGCGUAGACGGUUGCGUAAGUCAGAUGUGAAAGCCCCGGGCUCAACCUGGGAAUUGCAUUUGAGACUGCGUAGCUAGGGUGCGGAAGAGGGAAGCGGAAUUUCCGGUGUAGCGGUGAAAUGCGUAGAUAUCGGAAGGAACACCAGUGGCGAAAGCGGCUUCCUGGUCCAGCACCGGCGUCAGGCACGAAAGCGUGGGGAGCAAACAGG